GCAGUCGACGAUGAAGCCCUUCGGGGUGGAUUAGUGGCGAACGGGUGAGUAACACGUGGGCAAUCUGCCCUUCACUCUGGGACAAGCCCUGGAAACGGGGUCUAAUACCGGAUAUCACUCCCGCAGGCAUCUGUGGGGGUCGAAAGCUCCGGCGGUGAAGGAUGAGCCCGCGGCCUAUCAGCUUGUUGGUGAGGUAAUGGCUCACCAAGGCGACGACGGGUAGCCGGCCUGAGAGGGCGACCGGCCACACUGGGACUGAGACACGGCCCAGACUCCUACGGGAGGCAGCAGUGGGGAAUAUUGCACAAUGGGCGAAAGCCUGAUGCAGCGACGCCGCGUGAGGGAUGACGGCCUUCGGGUUGUAAACCUCUUUCAGCAGGGAAGAAGCGAAAGUGACGGUACCUGCAGAAGAAGCGCCGGCUAACUACGUGCCAGCAGCCGCGGUAAUACGUAGGGCGCAAGCGUUGUCCGGAAUUAUUGGGCGUAAAGAGCUCGUAGGCGGCUUGUCACGUCGGGUGUGAAAGCCCGGGGCUUAACCCCGGGUCUGCAUUCGAUACGGGCUAGCUAGAGUG
rnacentral:rRNA from 1 species